GUUAAAGUAAAAUCCAUUUUCAGUUCCUUUCCCUAUGUCAAUGCAAUUGCCACUAGCAGUUGCUCGAUUUGGAACCUUUCAAUCAAUCUGUCAUGUCUGAUGAGAGAAAAAAUUGUGCUUCUCUUGUGCUGCUGUGACACACUGUCUUCCAAAAAAGAGAAAUGCAAGAGAACCUCGAGGGCAGUGCCAAGGCCACAAACUCAGGGAUGGGUGCACUGUGAUGGAAGUAAUAAGACACAUGCAUAGUGGCUCAAUUAAAAAAAAAACACACUCCAUCAAUUGACACAGCUUGAUCCUUUGAGGCAUAGAUAUAAAAAUAUACUGCACCAACUGAUGCCCUUGAUCCUUCAAAAUAUUCUUAAAUCCUAAUCCACCUAAGUGCCAAUUUGUUUAUGAUGCAAUUUUUUUAUAGGUAGGUCAUCUGUCUACCUUAGACCUUAUUGUGGAAUAUGGUGUUAGAUACUGGCAUAAGCCUAAUUUUUGUCAGACUGCUUUCCAGUUUUUUCAAUAUUUCUUUUUUUUAAUCAAAUACUGAGUUCUUACCUUAGUAGUUGGUGUCCUUGGGUUUAUCAAAUAUAAUGGUACCAUGCUUGUUGGUUUCUGGAUCUUACCAACCUGAUCAACUUUGUUUUAUUAUUUAAUCAGUACCAAUAGUGUUAAUAAUUAAGAUUUGGUUCUGCUCUGCCUUCA
rnacentral:lncRNA from 1 species